GAUCAGUUUCUUUUCUGACUUGACAUUGCAAGUUCAUUUGGACUUCACUGUUUAUUAUUUUUUUUUUUUUUUUUCUAACAGACAUCAGACGUUGUUAAGAGGCAGCCGAAGUCACCGUCUCUAACAACGUUCAUAUCACCCAUCUUCAGAGAGCUGAAGGAGAAGCGGCGUGUUAGCGGGAGUGGUGUAUGUGCCCUGGAGGAGCUGGAAAACGCAUUCAGCCUCGCAGAGGAGUCCAGCCCUGGAAUCUCAGACCGUUUACUCAAAAACAUUAUGGAGAGAGUGUGCAGGUUUACACCCAAAAGAAACAGCAUGCCUUCAAAACGAUGAUAUCCGUCUGACUGCUGUUGAGCUCCGUCUGAUGGAAAGACCGCCCCGAUCCCUUCAUGAGCCAGUCCUCUAUGCCCACCUGCUCCUUCCGCUGAACACCUCCAAUCUUUCCAUUACAGCUUGUAUUAUGAGAUGUUUUUUUUUUUACAGUUUACUUUAUAGAAUUUUGAAAUGUCUAAAUCAAAUGUAAAAUAUGAAAUGACAAAGCUUAAGUUUAUGUGUAUUCCAUUUAAUGAAAAAGUACAUUGAGCUGUAAAUAAACUAGUGUAAAAAGUG